UGUGUGUGUGUGUGUGUGUGUGUUGCCCCUUGUGUCUUACAAUUGACUUAGUAAAGGGUUUGAAGUUGUUGGAUGGUACUUGUAUUCUCAGGAAUGUGGAAAGUUUUUGCUUCUGCCUCAGUCUGGAACCAGACCAGAAGGAUUAGACAGUGAUGCUGCAAAGACCAUAGGAAGAAGAUUCAUAAAGGAAGUGGUGACUGAAUCAAAUUUGCCCCAGAUUUCUUUAGAGCCUUCAUUGUUUAUUUAUCAAAGCAGAAGGGGGGGGGGGGGUCUCCAAAGAGAUGUAAAAAUAUGCUGUUGUGUUUUUUUUUGUUUGUUUGUUUGUUUUUUAUUUUUGUGGGGGUAGAUGUUGACACUCAGUAGAGCAGAAUUACAGAGAAAUCCUUCUGUUGUCACUCUUAUUGGAAUAGGCUAACUUCACUCUACCCAAGCAUCUGAAUUUCAGCUAACUGUCUUAAGGUCUCCUGUAUCAUCAGUGUUUCGUCCUUCUUUAUCUUCCUAGGCCUCAGAAAACCUCAUGCAGUCCAGUUCACUUGACUCUCGGUUCUCAAAUAGCAGUCAAAAACCAGGACAGGGUCCCGCUCCACUUUAAAUGGGUUUGGGCUCAGCCUGUGUACUUCAGUGAUUAAGCCAUAUCAUACAGAAAAGCCUUGGUUUGGAGGAAGUGAAAUGUUGGCAAAGGAGCAUCUAGAAUGUGUUUUGUCUCAGAGUGUAGUAAAAGUGUGCAUGUGGGUUUGUGUGAAUAUAACAUCUCCUGUCCUUGAUCCUACUUCUUAUAUCACUUGGGGGUCAGUAUUUGUUUCCCCUGGCGAUAGCCAAUCAGUUCUUGCGUUGCAGUAUAAAGGAAUUGUAAUUUUCAAGGAACGUCUGCUCUCGUUGGGCGCAGUAUUGUGCGAGCCCGUGUGUGGGACAGCUCAACUUGAAUAUGUUUAUGUGAUUGAGUCUGUGUGCAUGUUAGCUGUCGCUUUAACCCAGUAUAUUUUCAUACACAGAAGUGUGACUGGAAAGUGGUUAUUAGGCAUUGCAGAGCACUGGUCACCUGCCAGGCUAAAGAAGAUGGGUACUGUUAUUGUUCUGCAAUAACAGACUGCUCGCAGUGACUAUAGUACUAUUUGAACUCAAGUCUCAAAUGUUAACCCUUGGAGAUAAGCUUAACUUAGACUAAAUUGCUGUUAGCGGGGAUAAAACCUCAUUUCUUGUUUUCCCCCUUACAAAUAAGGAAUAGUGGCGAGAUUACACAGUGAGGGCUUUAAUAUUUGAAUCAGGUCUUCCACUUGUCUCAC
ensembl:lncRNA